AUUGAACGCUGGCGGCAGGCCUAACACAUGCAAGUCGAACGCGUGGCGGACGGGUGAGUAAUGUCUGGGAAACUGCCCGUUGGAGGGGGGUAACUACUGGAAACGGUAGCUCAUACCGCAUAUCAUCGGAUGUGCCCCGAUGGGAUUAGCUAGUAGGUGGGGUAACGGCUCACCUAGGCGACGAUCCCUAGCUGGUCUGAGAGGAUGACCCGCCACACUGGAACUGAGACACGGUCCAGACUCGUACGGGAGGCAGCAGUGGGGAAUAUUGCACAAUUGGCGCAAGCCUGAUGCAGCCAUGCCGCGUGUAUGAAGAAGGCCUUCGGGUUGUAAAGUACUUUCAGCGAGGAGGCGUUACUCGCAGAAGAAGCACCGGCUAACUCCGUGCCAGCAGCCGCGGUAAUUC
rnacentral:rRNA from 1 species